rnacentral:misc_RNA from 1 species
CCUAAGAGAUACGUGUUAUGUGCAGUGCUCACACAGAUUGUCUGAUGAAGAACGAGCAAAAGCGCGUCUGCGAAGCUGACAAAAGUCCCCUUCGUCUAGAGGCCUAGGACACCGCCCUUUCACGGCGGUAACAGGGGUUCGAAUCCCCUAGGGGACGCCAAUGCGCGGUAUGAGUGAAAGGCGUACCACUUAUCCGACGAGAGUCAGAGAAUAACUAAGCUAAUUCAAACGAGUUAUCUUACUUAUUAUGCUCUUUAACAAUCUGGAACAAGCUGAAAAAUUGAAAACAAAUCAAUAUAUCAACGAGGUAUAUUGGUGAGUCUCUCAAAAUCUCAAACCUUAAAGUUUGUCACGCAAAGUUUAUCUUUGAAAGAGACACUUUCGGGUUGUGA